UGAAAUUAUAUAUUUGAUAUAAGGAAAAAGCGUAGAACAGAUCCUACCACAGAAAUGUGAAAAGGAUAUUUUCUCUCUCAUUCUCUCUCUUCUCUUCUGCUUAUAUAAACCUCACAAGCAAUGAGAGUUAAUUAAGGAUACCACCACUACCAUUGAUAAAAUGAUGAUGAUGAGAAGCAAGGGAGCAUACAUAUACAAAUACAUAAAAGGGUACCAAUAUGUCGCCUUUAUCUGCGUUUGCACCUGCACCUUAACUGGUCUCUCUAUAUAUACUACUAUCUCUUCUUUUCUCUUGUUAUUAUAUAUUAUUAAUGGUGAAAAGGACAAUUAAGGUAGUAGAGUAGAGAUGAGGGAGCAUAUGGAUAAAGCUAGGUGCAGGUGCAGACGCAGGUGAAUGCCAUCUUGAAUUCAUUAACUACGAUUACUCGGACGGACCUCCUACUACUUCUUUCUCUCUUCAUAGUCAUCAUUUUCUGUGUUUCUGUUAAUAUUUCACGUUUCUUCUCUUUUUUUUAUUUUAGCGUAAAGAUAAUAACAAAUUGAUUUGUUAUUCCUUCUCAAUUUUUAAAAAUAUUUAGUUUAAUCAUAUUUUAUCUUAUGUUGUGUGUAAAUCUGUACUUAUAUAUAUUGUAGAAAAAUAACAGUCUGCGCACUGCAGGUUUUCCUCUCUAUAACACAAAAAAGUAACAUGGAUUCGAAACUACUCUUCUGCUAAUUGGUGGAGAAAAACGUAGGCACUUUGUGUUUUGGGGCCAGUUUUUUACAAUUAAUACAAACGGGGCUAUUUAGCUAAUGACCCUUCAAGGUAGAUCAAGUGUCCACUCACCUAUAGGUGUAAAGAUAGCAGCCUUGCGGACUUAGGCUCAUCAAGAAGGAAUUUGGGAAAAGAAUUCGACCCAAGAAACAGGAAAUGGCCGAAAAAUGAACAAGAAGAACAAACGACAAUGGGAAUGUAUGAAGAGAUGUACCAAGACAAUACUGGUGGGAAUGUAUGAAGAGAGAUGUGGCUAGCUUUGUAGCUAAGUGUAUGGCUUGUCAGCAGGUUAAAGCUGAGCACCAAAGACCCUCUGGUUUGCUUCAACCUUUGCCUAUACCAGAAUGGAAAUCGGACAAGAUCACGCUGGACCUUGUGACUGGAUUACCAUUGACACCAUUAAAGCAUGACACCGUCUGAGUGAUUGUCGAUUGUUUGACCAAAUCCACUUAUUUUAUUCAAAUUAGGACCGAUUAUAAGACUUGUAAACUAGCUUGACUUUAUAUGGAUAAUAUAGUUCGACAUCAUGGGUUACCUCCAAGCAUUGUUUAUUGUAGAGAUCCUCGAUUUACCUCAAGAUUUUGGCGAGCAUUGCAAAAAACUUUGGGGGAGUGAGCUUAACUUGAGCACCGUUCACCACCCUCUAAUAGAUGGACAGUCUGAGAGGACCAUCCAAACUUUGGAGGACAUGCUUCGUUAUUUUACUUUGGAGUUUAAAGGUAGCUGGGGAGAACACUUGUGUUUAGUAGAAUUCACUUAUAAUAAUUGCUACAGGUUAGUAUAGGCAUGGCUCCUUAUGAGGCCUUAUAUGGGAGACCAUGCAGAUCUCCCUUGUGUUGGGUAGAACUAGAUGAGUAUGAUAACUCUACAAAAUAGAGUUAUUUUACCACAUCUUUUAUGUUAAUUGUUGCUUAAUCUUUGAGUUUUUAAGUAAUUUAUUAAGUUUUUAAGUAA